rnacentral:rRNA from 1 species
UAGGGAAUCUUCCGCAAUGGGCGAAAGCUUGACGGAGCAACGCCGCGUGAGUGAUGAAGGUCUUCGGAUCGUAAAACUCUGUUAUUAGGGAAGAACAAAUGUGUAAGUAACUAUGCACGUCUUGACGGUACCUAAUCAGAAAGCCACGGCUAACUACGUGCCAGCAGCCGCGGUAAUACGUAGGUGGCAAGCGUUAUCCGGAAUUAUUGGGCGUAAAGCGCGCGUAGGCGGUUUUUUGAGUCUGAUGUGAAAGCCCACGGCUCAACCGUGGAGGGUCAUUGGAAACUGGAAAACUUGAGUGCAGAAGAGGAAAGUGGAAUUCCAUGUGUAGCGGUGAAAUGCGCAGAGAUAUGGAGGAACACCAGUGGCGAAGGCGACUUUCUGGUCUGUAACUGACGCUGAUGUGCGAAAGCGUGGGGAUCAAACAGG